GUUGGUAGCAUUAUGUUGUUAUAGCACGUGUGCAGAGGAGGAUCAAAUUACUGCAGCUGUUAAACCCUAUGCCUGAUUCUUAAUCUGGAGUGAAACUGGGCAUAUAUAGUAUCCUGGCAUUGCAUCAUUACCCUGAGCACCUGGUGAAAGGCAUUCUUAUCGAUGACCCAAAUGCUCAACUUCACAUCCAGAAGUUUUCCAGCAUG